ACCUGGAGAAACAUCCAGGAGCGCAACAAACAGUUAGAAGCAUCUUGCUCCACAGAAAUCCACACGGGAUUCAAACUACAGGCACAGUUACACUCAUUUCAU